UACGAAGGUCCCAAGCGUUGUUCGGAAUCAUUGGGCGUAAAGGGAGCGUAGGCGGCGUGGUAAGUCAGAUGUGAAAUCCCGGGGCUCAACCCCGGAACUGCAUCCGAUACUGCCAUGCUAGAGGAUUGGAGAGGUAGCUGGAAUUCUUGGUGUAGCAGUGAAAUGCGUAGAGAUCAAGAGGAACACUCGUGGCGAAAGCGAGCUACUGGACAAUUCCUGACGCUGAGGCUCGAAGGCUAGGGUAGCGAAAGGG
rnacentral:rRNA from 1 species